AAGUCGUAACAAGGUUUCCGUAGGUGAACCUGCGGAAGGAUCAUUACAGAAUAAACUUGAUGGAUUGUUGCUGGCUCUCUCUCAAGAGUAUGUGCACACCUGUCAUUUUUAUAUUUCCACCUGUGCACCCUUUGUAGUUCUGGAACAACCCAUGCUUUCGGUGCAUGAAUAGAGGGACUGCUGUGCUGUGCAAGCCAGCUUUCCUUUACCCUUUUCCAGAUCUAUGUUUUUCAAUAACACACCCAUGUAUGUUACAGAAUGGUAUUACAAGGCCCUAAAAAAAGCCUAUAUAAACAUAUACAACUUUCAGCAACGGAUCUCUUGGCUCUC
rnacentral:misc_RNA from 1 species